UUGUUGAUGAAAAACACCAAAAAAGAAAAGAAAAAAAAAAGGUGCAAUGUCAGCAAAAACUUGUUUAGGAAGUUGAGGGAUUGGGGAUCAAACAGUACUGAGAGUGUGAGUGAGUUUGUUUAUUAAAUACAACUUCACUCUGCUGAUGCCAUUGCAGCUUCUUCUUGCUUGCUUAGAGAGAGAGAGAGAGAGAGAGAGAGAGAGAGAGAGAGAGAGCGAUGGACAGCAAGUGCAACAGAAAAACAACAGGACGGGUUUCAGUGCCUGUAGGGUUCAGAUUCCAUCCCACUGAAGAGGAACUGGUGAACCACUACUUGAGGAAGAAGAAACAGGAUAAAGAUUUUAAAGUGAACCACAUCAUCCCUGAAAUUGCUUUCUGCAAGCACGAGCCUUGGGAUUUACCUGAAGGGGUUUCAGUGCCUGUAGGAUUCAGAUUCCAUCCCACUGAAGAGGAACUGGUGAACCACUACUUGAGGAAGAAGAAAUAGGAUAAAGAUUUUAAAGUGAACCACAUCAUCCCUGAAAUUGCUUUCUGCAAGCACGAGCCUUGGGAUUUACCUGGGCUCUUGUUCACAGAGUCAGGAUCGUGGGAAGAGGCCAAUGUCGGAGGAGGGGGAGCCAGCAUGACGAAGAGGCCAAGGAACGAGGAGGGGGAGGAGGGAGCGAUCGUCCCCCCGCCAACCAUACAUCCAGAGAGGAUGAAGGACUUUUUGGACACAGCGAGAUUGGUACUCUCGGGGGAAAUGUCGUGGGAGGUCUAGCUAUGGGCCCAGGACAGACCGAGCCUGCUCCAACCGUUGAGGCUGAAGUCGUUGCUGCUGGAGGAUGUGUAGUCGAGCCUCGAGAGCCCUGGGUUGAUGUCGAUGCUGGAACCGCUCAGGAGAACUGAGCUUUGUUGUUUUUUGCUUUCUUAGACUUGUUGGAACAAUAGGUCCGACCAGCCUUUCAGUUUGUUGUGAACAAGUUUUUAGUAUCUUGUGUUUUGAAUUUUGGGUAUAUUUAUCGUAAGUGUUGUUUAUACGUGGUAGUGUAAUCUUUUCAGUUUA